CGGAGCUGGGGCCGUCGCCCCAGCGAAGCCCUUCCGGCCCUGAGGGGAGGCCCAAGGCUACCUCCUCCCCGCCUCAGCUGCUCGAGGAAAGGCCUCCACCAUGAGAGCUCCCUGCUGCAAGGCCUCGCGUUUUGUUAACCUCCCUGUUUUUCCAGUGGGGCCGUCGCCCCAGCGAAGCCCUUCCGGCCCUGAGGGGAGGCCCAAGGCUACCUCCUCCCCGCCUCAGCUGCUCGAGGAAAGGCCUCCACCAUGAGAGCUCCCUGCUGCAAGGCCUCGCGUUUUGUUAACCUCCCUGUUUUUCCAGGCUGGGAGCAAGAAAGAAAGUCAGGUUCUGAGGGGGGAAAAGGAUUGGGGAGCUUUAGUGGAGAGCAGCUGCUCCUGCAAGCCAAAGACUGGCUCUGCCCAAGGGUCUCGGUUAACUCGGCUUUGCGGCCAGCACCUCGUUGUUUUGAAUCAGCUACAGAGUUUUUGAGAGAAGAGAUUAGAUCAGGCGGGAGCCCGUGCGGCGCGGUGAGACGCCCUGGUGUCCCAGCACAGCGGAGAGCCUCGCCGAGGCACCGCGGAUUGAAGCCGGGCGUCCCUCAGCGACCUGCCUGCCCGGUCCACCUCAGCCUGGCCCCGUUGAGCGCAUCCGCACCUGACCAUAAAUGCAGUUUAUCCCCAGCGGCCCUGGCUAGCUUCACGGAGCACAGAACUAAGCACAGAAAUCCUUCUGCACCUGUGAUAAGCUUUGAGAGAAGUUAG
rnacentral:lncRNA from 1 species